GUAGAAUCCUUCCAGUUAAUUUUAUCCAAAAUCAGGUUUGUAGUUAUGUUGUGGAGGUUAGUGUGCUGUAUAUGUCCUGGUGACAUAGUGUUGUGGAGGGUAGUGUGCUGUAUAUGUCCUGGUGACAUAGUGUUGUGGAGGGUAGUGUGCUGUAUAUGUCCUGGUGACAUAGUGUUGUGGAGGGUAGUGUGCUGUAUAUGUCCUGGUGACAUAGUGUUGUGGAGGGUAGUGUGCUGUAUAUGUCUUGGUGACAUAGUGUUGUGGAGGUUAGUGUGCUGUAUAUGUCUUGGCCGAAUAAUCCAAGUUUAUCUAACUCUAAAUCUAUAUAUAUUUUUUUAAUGUCCUGGUGACAUAGUGUUGUGGAGGUUAGUGUGCUGUAUAUGUCCUGGUGACAUAGUGUUGUGGAGGUUAG
rnacentral:lncRNA from 1 species